AGCGAACGCUGGCGGCAGGCCUAACACAUGCAAGUCGAACGAACCUUUCGGGGUUAGUGGCGGACGGGUGAGUAACACGUGGGAACGUGCGUUUAGGUUCGGAAUAACUCAGGGAAACUUGUGCUAAUACCGAAUGUGCCCUUCGGGGGAAAGAUUAAUCGCCUUUAGAGCGGCCCGCGUCUGAUUAGCUAGUUGGUUGAGGUAAUGGCUCACCAAGGCGACGAUCAGUAGCUGGUCUGAGAGGAUGAUCAGCCACAUUGGGACUGAGACACGGCCCAAACUCCUACGGGAGGCAGCAGUGGGGAAUCUUGCGCAAUGGGCGAAAGCCUGACGCAGCCAUGCCGCGUGAAUGAUGAAGGUCUUAGGAUUGUAAAAUUCUUUCACCGGGGACGAUAAUGACGGUACCCGGAGAAGAAGCCCCGGCUAACUUCGUG
rnacentral:rRNA from 1 species